AUUGAACGCUGGCGGCAUGCCUUACACAUGCAAGUCGAACGGUAACAGGUCUUCGGAUGCUGACGAGUGGCGAACGGGUGAGUAAUACAUCGGAACGUGCCUAGUAGUGGGGGAUAACUACUCGAAAGAGUGGCUAAUACCGCAUGAGAUCUACGGAUGAAAGCAGGGGAUCGCAAGACCUUGUGCUACUAGAGCGGCCGAUGGCAGAUCAGGUAGUUGGUGGGAUAAAAGCUUACCAAGCCGACGAUCUGUAGCUGGUCUGAGAGGACGAUCAGCCACACUGGGACUGAGAAACGGCCCAGACUCCUACGGGAGGCAGCAGUGGGGGAUUUUGGACAAUGGGCGCAAGCCUGACCCAGCAAUGCCGCGUGCAGGAUGAAGGCCUUCGGGUUGUAAACUGCUUUUAUACAGGAAGAAACGACCCUUGCGAGGGGCAUUGACGGUACUGUAUGAAUAAGCACCGGCUAACUCCGUGCCAGCAGCCGCCGUAA
rnacentral:rRNA from 1 species